rnacentral:rRNA from 1 species
UGGGGAAUAUUGCACAAUGGGCGGAAGCCUGAUGCAGCAACGCCGCGUGCGGGAUGACGGCCUUCGGGUUGUAAACCGCUUUCGCCUGUGACGAAGCGUGAGUGACGGUAAUGGGUAAAGAAGCACCGGCUAACUACGUGCCAGCAGCCGCGGUGAUACGUAGGGUGCGAGCGUUGUCCGGAUUUAUUGGGCGUAAAGGGCUCGUAGGUGGUUGAUCGCGUCGGAAGUGUAAUCUUGGGGCUUAACCCUGAGCGUGCUUUCGAUACGGGUUGACUUGAGGAAGGUAGGGGAGAAUAGAAUUCCUGGUGGAGCGGUGGAAUGCGCAGAUAUCAGGAGGAACACCAGUGGCGAAGGCGGUUCUCUGGGCCUUUCCUGACGCUGAGGAGCGAAAGCGUGGGGAGCGAACAGGCUUAGAUACCCUGGUAGUCCACGCUGUAAACGGUGGGUACUAGGUGUGGGGUCCAUUCCACGGGUUCCGUGCCGUAGCUAACGCUUUAAGUACCCCGCCUGGGGAGUACGGCCGCAAGGCUA